AGAGUUUGAUCCUGGCUCAGGAUGAACGCUGGCGGCGUGCUUAACACAUGCAAGUCGAACGAAGCAUUUAAGACAGAUUACUUCGGUUUGAAGUCUUUUAUGACUGAGUGGCGGACGGGUGAGUAACGCGUGGGUAACCUGCCUCAUACAGGGGGAUAGCAGCUGGAAACGGCUGGUAAUACCGCAUAAGCGCACAGUACCACAUGGUACAGUGUGAAAAACUCCGGUGGUAUGAGAUGGACCCGCGUCUGAUUAGCUUGUUGGCGGGGUAACGGCCCACCAAGGCGACGAUCAGUAGCCGACCUGAGAGGGUGACCGGCCACAUUGGGACUGAGACACGGCCCAGACUCCUACGGGAGGCAGCAGUGGGGAAUAUUGCACAAUGGAGGAAACUCUGAUGCAGCGACGCCGCGUGAGUGAAGAAGUAGUUCGCUAUGUAAAGCUCUAUCAGCAGGGAAGAUAGUGACGGUACCUGACUAAGAAGCUCCGGCUAAAUACGUGCCAGCAGCCGCGGU
rnacentral:rRNA from 1 species